rnacentral:rRNA from 1 species
AAACGCUUGAAGUCAGUCGCGUUGGCCAGGGAUCAACCUUGCUUUUGCUUGGUGUACUUCCUGGUCGACGGGUCAACAUCAGUUUUGACCGUUGGAUAAAGGUUGGGGGAAUGUGGCAUCCUCGGAUGUGUUAUAGCUCCCAAUUGUAUACAAUGGUUGGGACUGAGGAAUUCAGCACGCCGCAAGGCCGGGUUUCGACCACGUAUCGUGCUUAGGAUGUUGACAUAAUGGCUUUAAUCGA